CACGCCGCGUGAGUGAUGAAGGUUUUCGGAUCGUAAAGCUCUGUUGUUAGGGAAGAACAAGUGCCGUUCAAAUAGGGCGGCACCUUGACGGUACCUAACCAGAAAGCCACGGCUAACUACGUGCCAGCAGCCGCGGUAAUACGUAGGUGGCAAGCGUUGUCCGGAAUUAUUGGGCGUAAAGGGCUCGCAGGCGGUUUCUUAAGUCUGAUGUGAAAGCCCCCGGCUCAACCGGGGAGGGUCAUUGGAAACUGGGGAACUUGAGUGCAGAAGAGGAGAGUGGAAUUCCACGUGUAGCGGUGAAAUGCGUAGAGAUGUGGAGGAACACCAGUGGCGAAGGCGACUCUCUGGUCUGUAACUGACGCUGAGGAGCGAAAGCGUGGGGAGCGAACAGGAUUAGAUACCCUGGUAGUCCACGCCGUAAACGAUGAGUGCUAAGUGUUAGGGGGUUUCCGCCCCUUAGUGCUGCAGCUAACGCAUUAAGCACUCCC
rnacentral:rRNA from 1 species